UUAACAUUAUUUUAUUUUAUUUUAUUUUAUUUCUUUUCUGUUCUAAAUUCUGCCAGGGUAUGUAAACGUAUGAGCAUAACUGUAUGACAAUUCAUAGUGCUUAGCCCUGACAAAAUGUACAUUGAAGUGUUUAAGGCCUCUACUUACAUUACACUUGAUAUUGGUACAUAAUAAACAUCCAUGUGGCAGACACAAACAACAUGAGGGCAAAUGUAAAAGGUACA